GAUGAACGCUGGCGGCGUGCUUAACACAUGCAAGUCGAACGAUGAAGCCCAGCUUGCUGGGUGGAUUAGUGGCGAACGGGUGAGUAACACGUGAGUAACCUGCCCUUAACUCUGGGAUAAGCCUGGGAAACUGGGUCUAAUACCGGAUAGGAGCGUCCACCGCAUGGUGGGUGUUGGAAAGAUUUAUCGGUUUUGGAUGGACUCGCGGCCUAUCAGCUUGUUGGUGAGGUAAUGGCUCACCAAGGCGACGACGGGUAGCCGGCCUGAGAGGGUGACCGGCCACACUGGGACUGAGAGACGGCCCAGACUCCUACGGGAGGCAGCAGUGGGGAAUAUUGCACAAUGGGCGCAAGCCUGAUGCAGCGACGCCGCGUGAGGGAUGACGGCCUUCGGGUUGUAAACCUCUUUCAGUAGGGAAGAAGCGAAAGUGACGGUACCUGCAGAAGAAGCACCGGCUAACUACGUG
rnacentral:rRNA from 1 species